UAAGCAGAGCUCCCUUGAGAGUUCUUCAAAGAGAAGUUGAAUGAUUAAUCUGAUUUUGCUUCCCUGGGAUUACUCAUUAGUAAGAUAUUCUUUCAGAUACUGUGUACUGAUGAAACUGCUGACUCAGCUGGUCUGAAGGACCCCACUGGCACUGGCUGGUCUGAAGGACCCUGCUGAUCACAACUUGCCUGAAGGACCCUACUGACAUCAGCUGUUGUCCAAAGGACGCCACAAGAAACUGACUCACCAAAAAAUGCAUCCUGAUGAUUUCAUCCCCCUUAACCCGACCAAUCAACAACCCCAAAUCUACACAGCCCCUUUCCCUCCAUGAUUCCUACAAAACUCCAGCCCAGAACUCCUCAGGGAGAUGGAUUUGAAGGUCUCCUCCCUUCUACUUGCUUGAUGCCCUAUUAUUAUUAAACUCUUUGCUACAAA